CGCGUAGGUGGUAGUGAAAGUCUAUGGUGGAAUCUUAGGGCUUAACCCUAAAACUGCCUUGGAAACUUCAUUACUUGAGUCAGUGAGGGGAGGGUAGAAUUCCUGGUGUAGCGGUGAAAUGCGUAGAUAUCAGGAGGAAGGCCGGUGGCGAAGGCGGCCCUCUGGCGCUGAACUGACGCUGAGGCGCGAAAGCGUGGGUAGCAAACAGGAUUAGAUACCCUGGUAGUCCACGCCCUAAACGGUGGGUACUAGGUGUAGGGCUCGUAAGGGUUCUGUGCCGAGGGAACCAUUAAGUACCCCGCCUGGGGAGUACGGCCGCAAGGUUGAA
rnacentral:rRNA from 1 species